AUUAUGGCUCAGAGUGAACGCUGGCGGCGUGGAUUAGGCAUGCAAGUCGAGCGAUAUUUAAGGCGGAGAGAUUGAAGCCGCAAGGUGGAUGUCAAUUUGCCUUUUAUAGAGCGGCAGACGGGUGAGGAACACGUGAGCAAUCUGCCUUUAAGUCAGACAUAGCUUCGUGAAAACGGAGGUAAUUUCUGAUGCAAUCAAGUGAGCGCAUGCUUUCUUGAUUAAAGACGGGGACCGCAAGGCCCGUCGCUUAAAGAUGAGCUCGCGUCUUAUCAGCUUGUUGGUAGGGUAACGGCCUACCAAGGCUUUUGACGAGUAGCUGGUCUGAGAGGAUGGUUAGCCACACUGGGACUGAGACACUGCCCAGACUCCUACGGGAGGCUGCAGUCGAGAAUCUUUAGCAAUGGACGAAAGUCUGACUAUGCGACGCCGCGUGAGGGAUGAAGGUUUUCGGAUCGUAAACCUCUUUUGGCAGGAAAGAAACCUUUGACGUUAAUAACGUCAGAGCUGACGGUACCUGCAGAAUAAGCCACGGCCAACUCCGUGCCAGCAGCCGCGGUAAUACGGAGGUGGCUAGCGUUACUCGGAAUCAUUGGGUGUAAAGGGCAAGUAGGCGGUCUGGUAAGUGAGGGGUGAAAUCUUCCGACUCAAUCGGAAAACUGCCUUUCAAACUGCCAGGCUUGAGGGUGGAAGAGGAAAGCGGAAUUCUCGGUGUAAGGGUGAAAUCUGUAGAGAUCGAGAAGAACACCAGCGGCGAAGGCGGCUUUCUGGUCCACUCCUGACGCUGAAUUGCGAAAGCUAGGGGAGCAAACAGAAUUAGAUACUCUGGUAGUCCUAGCCGUAAACGAUGAGCACUAGGUGUCGGUCCCGUUAGGGGUCGGCGCCGUCGCUAACGCAAUAAGUGCUCCACCUGGGGACUACGGCCGCAAGGCUAAAACUCAAAGGAAUUGACGGGGGCCCGCACAAGCGGUGGAACAUGUGGUUCAAUUCGAUGCUACGCGAAAAACCUCACCAGGGUUUGACAUACAGGAAGUAGUGAACCGAAAGGGGAACGACCUGUCAAAUCAGGAGCCUGAACAGGUGCUGCAUGGCUGUCGUCAGCUCGUGUCGUGAGAUGUUGGGUUAAGUCCCGCAACGAGCGCAACCAUUAUCUCUUGUUGCCACCUCUUUUUGCCGAAAGGUAAAAAGAGAGCACUCUAGAGAGACUGCUUGGGAUAACCAGGAGGAAGGUGGAGAUGACGUCAAGUCAGUACGGCCUUUAUGCCCUGGGCUACACACGUGUUACAAUGACCAGAACAGAGGGUUGCCAACCCGCAAGGGGGAGCUAAUCUCUUAAAUCUGGCCUCAGUUCAGAUUGCAGUCUGCAAUUCGACUGCAUGAAGCCGGAAUCGCUAGUAAUGGCAGAUCAGCACGCUGCCGUGAAUACGUUCCCGGGCCUUGUACACACCGCCCGUCAAGCGAUGGAAGCCUGGAGUACCCGAAGUCCUAUGUAGAUAGGCCGAAGGUAAAACAGGUGACUGGCGCUAAGUCGUAACAAGGUAGCCGUACGGGAACGUGCGGCUGGAUCACCUCCUUUCUGAAU
rnacentral:rRNA from 1 species